UUAGACCCCAAAUUUUUCGAAAAAGAGUGUGUCUUAUCCAUGGGGAAAUACGGUAUGUAUAAUAGUACCUUUCUGGGUUACGAGAUCUACUGUCGCAGUGUCGCAGUGCUUGUGUUCAAGUUACCCUUAUUUUACUGAAUAAUGGCCCCAGAGCACAAGCGUAGUGAUGCUGGCAAUUCGGAUAUGCCACAGAGAGGCCUUAAGAUGAAAUCAUCCUGGAUUUAGGGUGGACCCUGAGUCCAAUGACUGGUGAACUUAGGAGAAGAGGACAGGACACAGAGGUAGAUACACACAGGAGAGAAAGCCACGUGAAGACGGACACAGAAACUGGAUGUGAUGCUGCGAGAAGCCGAAGAACACCAGAUGCCACCAGAAGCUCAAGAGGCAGGAAGGAUCCUCCCCUAGAGCCUUCAGAGGGAGCAUGGUCCUGCUGACACCUUGAUUUUGGACUUUUAGCUUUUAAAACUGCGGGAGAAGAAAUUUCUAUUGUUGUAAGCUGCCCAGUGUGUGGCACUUUGUUACAACAGCCCAAUAAAGUAACAGUUUGCUUUUAAUUUUUCUAUGGGAAAGGCAGUUUUGUAUAGUGGGCAAAAUCAGAUGUUUACGUCAGCCAGGACUGGUCUCAAAGUGUUUAGGAAUGACUUCUCUGAGCCCUCCUGUCCUCAUCUGUGGCACGCUUGAAGGUACCUGUGAGGAUUUACUAACAUGGUCCAUACACUGUGGCUGGUACUCGGCUGGUGGCCCAUGAAUGGUGAGUACUAUCAUAAACGUCCUCCUCAAUGAGAUGAGCAGUUGUUUGCAGGUGGUGUUUGUUAUGUUUUGCCUCUUUCUCCGUGGCAGGAUGCUUACUACGGUUAGGUAAUAGAGAGCUGCAAAAAACGGCCAGAGGACUGCAAGAAAACGGCCAAAUGGCUUGAAAAGAAUCAUGGAAUGCUGGCACUGGAGGGGGCUCCUGCCAGCAUCCCAUGCACACAGGCCCACAUCCAGGAGAGGAAACUGGCCGCCCAGUGCGGAUGGAUGCACUCCACUCAGCGUGGCCUCUAAGAGGCCCCCAGAACUGACCAGAGGGACCAGCAGAAGCAAAAGUCUGCAAAAACGUGCCUGUCCACAUUAGGGGCUGGUCCUGGGAAUAAUCACCAUAAAAACACUAAUAUCAGGAGCCGUCACCGCCCCUGUUCUGAGCAUGAGCUCAUUCCACACUCUUUCCUUGCUUUUCUCUUUUUAUCACAACAGCCCGGCGAGGUGAGCGCAUUAUCCUGUUCAGGCUCAGAGAGGUUACAUAACUGAGGCGCCCAAGGCCACGACUGGAAGUAGCCACAGGGGAACUUGGACCCGGGGUUGCCUGGUGCGGGAUCGUGGUUCCUGAGGCUGAGCUCGGGAGACGCCUGAGCGGAACAGUAAUCUGCGCUGCCUCAAGAAUGUGAGGCAUAUGGGGAAUUCUGAAGUUGACAACUGUAGAAAAGAGGAGAGAGAAAAAAAGAAAAGAAGAUGCAGUGCUGACCCAUUACAAAUGAAAGAGCUCGCGAGUUCAGGUCAGCACGUUCUCAUUGAUGCUCAUUCUUGGCACGAGACACGGAGCUGGAUGCUGGAAAUACAGAGCACAGAUACCAGAGAAGAGCACGAUGAUGGUGCCAACUU